rnacentral:tmRNA from 1 species
GGGACUGAAAGGUUUCUACAUAUUGAUAAUUGUAAAUAAUUUAUAAUUCAUAAGAUAAUAUGAUUUUAUUUUUAAAAUUAAAUGCAAAAAAUAAUAUUGUAGUUUUGUCUAAAAAAGUGUUAACAGUUUAGCCUUUUUAAAUAUUAAAUUAUUUCUUUAAAGUAUAGUUUAAUUAAUUUUAUUAAAUGCUCUUACAUUAUUGUAAAUAUUAAAUUAUAAAAUAUCCUAGUAGUAAGUAAAGUAAAUAAUUUGACAUUUGUAUUUUGUUGUUAGAUAUUAUAUUUUUACAAGAUUAUAUCAAUAUGGACGUGAGUUCAAUUCUCACCAGUUCCA